UGCAGUGAAACGACGUAUCUCUAAGCGUCAAGCGUCAAAUAAUGAGCAGUUAAAUUUCGUACUGAGUUUACACUGGUCAUUUAUAAAAUUGACAUUGUUGAGUGAAAAAUGUUGAAGCAUAAGAGAUUCUCGUAAGAAUGGGCAAAGUGAUGUUUGGAUCCAAGAAACUGCCAAAUACUCUGGGCCUGAAAUAUGAAACCGUAAACUUUAUUAUUUGAAACUGAAAGUGUGGUUAUAUUUUUUUUUAGUAAUGCGUACAAAUAGUAUCGAAUAAAAAAAAAGGUUUUUACACAUGAAUUUAAAAAACUGAAUAACUAACCUAAUACUCAACAAAACAUGUAUGGAAAACAAAUGUAGCAGUUUGGUUAUCCUGCAAGUUGAACGAUGUCCGAGGAUUCAAAAAUGGGCCUCUUUGGCUCUAAAGAUGAUCAUAAAGAAUCAACGUCAGCUGACACCACCAAACAAGAUUCAGCGGUCCGUUAUGCCCCGUACUGUAUAGACAGCGAUUCUGAAACAUACGAUACAGAAGCACUGAGUAUAAUGGAUAUCAAUGAUAUAAUAGGUGUGCAAACAGAACAAGCGGUUGAGUCUACGCUGGAAAGUGAAAUAGCUGCUCUUUCAGAAAUUAUUACUGACUGCAAGCGUGAAACAAGCUCUGCUGCAACUAAUGAAGCCCCUGGAGAAAGUUCAGAUAUUAAAUUUACUGAAGAACUUUUCACUCAACUGACAUCACUGUCACCAGCUGAACAGCCAAGUUCAAGCCUCAUCGAAGAAAGUUGUAUAAAAGAUUUGAGAGUGGAUGAGCUGCCAGAAGAAAAUAUCGCCCAUAGAAAAAUUAGCAAUAAGUCUGCUUCCGAUGAAAACUCUCCAGAUGUUAUAAAAGCUGAGGAUUUGUCGUUCAAAAAUAUUUUAGAAGACAAAGUUGUUGUCGAAAUGGAUGUUCACAUUACUACUAAAACUGAAGAUGUUACGCCAACUUUGGAUGAACUAAGUAACGAGUGUGAACAAACAAAAGCAGAGCCCACACCGAAGACUGAGAAUGUAGGUGUACCUUCACUCUGCUCCGCUACUCAUGCUAUAAACAAAUUUGACGAAGAUUUUCAAAAUAACAUAUCUCGUAUAAAGGAACAAAAAGCUAGCGACAUCGACAGUAUAAAAUUUGAUUGUGUAAUUGAAACUGUAAACCCUGUGGGGGAGAUUGUUAGCACACCUCUUCCUGAAAUUGCAACAAAGCCAUCAGAGAUAUCUUCACCUAGUAUUCAAAUAAAUUUAAAUGAUGAAAAAAAUGACAAGCAUACAGACCCAUUUGAAUGUGAUGAUAAUGUUGCAGUGCCUGUUGAAAAUCCAGAGACUGAUACCUGUACUAUAGUGAAAAGUGAGGGUUGCGUUGCAAAUACUGAAUUAGAGAGCAAAAUAGCCUCUGACGAUUCCAUGGAUAAAAAGCUAUCAGAUGUACUUACAAAUGUGGGAAGUAUUUCUAAGAGUUUACAACUCAUUGGGGAAGCUUACAUUUCUGAAGACUCUCAGGAAACUGACGACAAAGAUGAAUUGCCUGCUAUCACAGAUGUUCGUCUUCCAUCAUCCAUUAUAGAAGAACAAAAAACUAUGCAAGUUACCGAGCCUAAGCAGGAAGUCAGCUCUAGAGAUGUUUUAACAGAAACUUCGCACAACGAAACCGAACUGCGUGAUUACUGCGAUAUACCAAUAAGUACUUCUACAAAAUUUACUACAAUUGGUCAAGAAUGUAAGUCAUUGGACGACAAAGAAAAUCCUGGUAACACGCAUAAGAUUUUGCCUGGUCUACAAGAUAAGACAAAAAACAAUGAUUUACAUCAAAUCAUCGAAUCACAAGUAAUUGUGAAUCUUAUUGACGAUUAUGCUAAUGAACAAGAAAAACGAGCAGAAACAAAUGUGCAUAGUCAGGAAAAUACAGAGAAAAGUAGUCAGUUUUGCAAAAUAUCUUUAUUGCCAGAUUCAAGUAUUAUUGAAGAUACGAGUAAUCCAUUGCAAACGACUACUGCGUCGGCACAAGAAUUGAUCGACUCAGAAAAAAAACGUUUGCAAGAAACUCCAUAUGUGGAAGAUAAGUCGUUGGAGUCUGAACUUGAAACAAUUGAGGAUCCGACAGGGAAUAAGAUCCUGAAGCUAGCAACAAGUAGCAGUCCAGAUGGGGUUGAAGAAAAGAUUCCCAUAGAUGUUCAAUUGAUUGACGAAGCAGUGGAACCUUAUGAAACUAAUAUCACAUCAUUGGACUCGAGUGCAAAGAUAGUCCUGCCAAUGGAAAACUUAUCUGUACAAAAUCCCAAACCAAUCAAGGUGUCAGAGACGUCAUCUACCAUCAUAUCGACAUAUCCAGAGGUUGGAUCAAAAAAUGCAACACAAGUUGAUUUGGAAAUGAAGUUUGAACACACAGAAAUUGAAAAAGAAAUCAUACUCCCUGAACCCACAUCGGAUAAUAAUAGCGAAUUGAGUAGUUCGAAAAGUCUUGGAACAUCGUUGUCAAGUUCAGAACAUUCACAUACUGCUGAUAAUUUUGUCAAACAUUUUUCUGAAACCUCCACUUCACCUGUAGAAGUUAGUCAAGAUUUACAUAGUGAAGAUGACCAAAGUGUUGAUGCUACGGCACCUGAAAAAACAGUCUUGACAAAUGAAGAAUGCAGGGAAAUAUUGGAAGUUGAAGAACUUCCAGAGACAGUAGAAGAGAAAACAACAAAACAAGCGGUAGCUGAUACGAAAAUUUUUGAGGGUAUUGCUCCAAUCAUACAAUCUGUAGAGAACAAAGAAAAGGAAUAUGAAGAUGAACCCAGUAGCACAUCCAAGAACACUUCAAGCAUUGAAGAAGACGGAGAAACAGUUGAGGUUGAACCAUGUGCAACUGAAAAAGAUGGUCAAAUACAGCAAACAUUGACGGAAAAUACAUCACCAAUUACUCAAGAAAGCCAAAUGGAGUUAAAAAAUAACAUAUCGGCAACUGAGCAUGACAUAUCAGUUGAUUCGAACAAGGAGAAGCCAGAGGAAAUAGAAGAUUCGAAUACAAACUUAACGCAGUCAGGAGAUGAAAACUGUACAAAAAUCAAAAUUCCGUCAUGUGAUAUUGUGGAAGCAAAUGAGGUGCAAAAGUUACAAUCAUCACAGGAAUUUAGUCAAGCUGAAAAAACAAAUUUUGUCGAAGCAAAAGUUGACGCCGUUAUCUCACAGAUAAAUGAGGAAAACUUGAUUUCACAAAGAGACUGUUCUCCAGAAAUGAAAAAUUCUGAUCUUCUUGAUGCUAAUUUAAAAGAUAGUAAAGGUGACGUAGAGCCACAAGCUGGUUCUGAAAUCAUUGACAUAGUAAUGGAAAAUGCACCAGACUCAAAAGUAGAAAUAUCUAAAGAUAUUAAUGAAUUAAACGUUGAAAUAUCAAACUUGGAGAGUGUUAACUGCAAAGGUGACUCCUAUCAACCAGAGGUUACUGACGAAUCACUCAACAUCAGUCAGGUUGUCGAAGCAAAAACAGUGGAUUCUACCAUAUCUAUCUGUUCAAAAAUUUGCCAAGAUGAUGUUCCAACAAAACAAGUCUAUAAGGAAUCUCAUCAAUCAGAAGAAACUGAAUCAAUCGCUGUAUUGCCAAUUGAUACAGAAAAUAAACAGAUAAAAGAUACAUCUGACAAAUAUGAAGCAGAGAUCGCAGAAAUUGAAAAUAUUAAAGAGUCAUGUAGUGAGAUUGUUAUUGCGAGCGUAGUAUCACUUGCAGAUUGGGAAAAUGCCUCAGAAACUAGUACAAUGCAGGAUUGGCCUGAAAUUGCCGGCUGUUCAGAAUUAGGUCCUGAGCAUAAUAAAUGUGAGAGCAAAGUAAAUAUUAAAUCAAAAAAAGAACAAAGUGAUAACUUGAAUGUUCCUCAAAUACAGCAGGAAGCAAUUAAUAAAUCUGAAACUUCAUUAAGAGAUGACGAUGUACAGUGUCAAGAGUUAUCUCCUACCAUAACGCUUCAAAAACUGGACAGCCCUGAAAUUCAGGGUGAAAAAUCUCAGUCUCAGUCUGAAGCUGAACUGAUUAUUAGUAAAUCUGUGGAUGCUCUUUCGAGUGAUGAAUUAGUUGAGGACUCAAGCCAAACACAAUCCAAAGUUAACUUAAUUUUAACAGAACAUCCAGUAGAUCAAAUUUGUGACUCGCAAAUUAGCAUGCAAGAAAUACAAGCAAUUGACAGCAUAUCUGAACUUUCAGAAAAUGAGUCAAAAUUAUUAGAAAACGAACAGAAACUUGAAGAAGACUUAAUUCCAACAAAACAUAUCAAGGCCAGCUAUCCUGAGGUCACAACUGGUAUUCCUUGCUCCAUUGAAGAUUCGAAAUCAAAUCAAAUUUUGGACAGAAAUCUACAAGGUAUCGAAUCUGAAGGAAAUGUAUUUAAGGUGAUACCUGAAUCUGUUUCAGAUACCCUGCAGUCUACUGAUUUAAUAGAAUAUGAACAGAAGGUGAACGAAGAUUCAAAAUGUGAGCCUAUUGAAGAAUUGGAUAAAUUGACAGCAGUGGCUGAUGAAAUUUUGAUUGAUGAGUUAGCUGAUUCUGUAUUAAAAGAUGACCUACAACCCUUGGAAAACUUCAACAAUUUGGAAAUAUUACCCGAUAGCAAUUUAUCUCCAUCAUCUAUUGUGAGUUCUGAUCCAUUAAGAAUCGAACAAGUAGAAACAGACGAAUUUUCUGGAAUAAAAGAUCAACCUGUAUCAUUGCUAGAAGAAAUGAACAAAACAUGUUUCAUUGAAGAUUCGAGUCAAACACCAAGUGUAUCACAUGAAGCUAAUUAUAUAACUGAUGUUAUCAUAAGUUCAACAAACAUUGAAAAUAUACAGCUUGCAGAUAAUAUACAAGAAAGGAAUGAUGAAAAUAUUAAUGCUGAUGAGUUCAAAGAAGACAACGGACAAGAGCUAAAAGCUAGUAACAGUUCCAUUCCCAAAGAUAUUUCAUCUGUCGAUCAAAGUAUGGCAAGUAUAAGUGGAGCAUGUAAAACAGAAGAUGAAGAAAAUCUGAAUGUAGACAAAGGUAUUGAAAUAAGUUUACCAUUGAAACAAGAAGAGGAAAAAUUGAUUGAAUGUGCAGUGCUGCGAGCAUGUGAUGUCAAAAUUGAUCUACCAGACGAGGUAUUGUUUGAUACUGAGGAUGCAGCAGAAUCUGAAGUUCUUUGUCAUACGUCAGAAGACAAUGUCGAUACCUCACAACAAAGCUCAGAAAUUUCUGAAUUAGAAUGUGCUGUAAAAUUCUUACAAGAAUCUGAGGAGCAAACAAUAGAUUCUCCACUACUCUUGUCACCUAAAAUAACUGAAGACAUUGUAGAAGAGAAUUCGGAACAGAAUAAAUCUUGUGUUUUUUUGUCAGAAACAGAAGUUUGUCAGGGUACUUUGGAACUACCUGUAGAAUUGGAACAAAUUAAGCCAAAUUCAAUAGCUAUAUCAGAAGCAGAAAUUAUUUCUGAGGCAGCCAAGUUGGAAAAUGAACGCAAGUUGAAAAUAGCUGCAGAAUUGAGUAAAACUUCGGAAAGUACUUUGAAAUUGGAUGUUACUGAAAAUCUUGUAUCAGAAAAUAAUUCAGAGAUGCUGAAAAAUCUUCUGACAGUAGCGGAGACCCCCAGUUGGAGCGACAGAUCAGGUGAAAGUCUUGCAUCGACUUCGGAAAAAUUUGCUGAUUGCCAAAUCCUGGAAUUACCUGAAAAUAAUAUUAGAAGAUCGGAGAAGAUGCCUAAGAUUUCAAUUCUAGAAGAGAGAUUGAAAGUACCACCCAAAAUAGAAAUACCAUCUAACGAAAUAACUCCGAGAAUAUUAGAUACACCUACAACUCCGAAAACAAGUUUGCUUAUUCAAAGGGAUUCAAAGGUAGACUCUAAAAGUAUGUAUCAAAAAAUGCUUGAAUCUCCAAUAGGUGGAGACAAAAACGAGCCGAGAAUUGCAGACACUCCAAGAAAAGAUUCUGAGAAACAUGAUUUCGAAAAUGUUGGUUCCCCACGAAUAAUUUUGAAAAUAGCAAAGUCUGCUAUCGCUGAUUGCAGUGAGCCGAGAUCACCCAAAAGUCCCAAGAUACGAUCAGCAGCAAACUCUCCGAACCCAGAAGAUAGCCCUGGUCAAAAAUUGGGUAAAAUUAAGUUGAAAUUAUCAAAAGGUGGUCAUCCUUCGAUAAUUUCUAAUGAUAAUUAUGAUGAGAGUACACAGCGUCACACGGAUGCAAUGUUAUCCCCAUCUCAUAUUGGUAUGAAAAUUAAAUUAUCGAAAUCAGGCGAUGCUUCAAUCAUUCAACCUGAUAAAUAUGACUUAACUGACGAGGUUAAAGAAAGUAAACACAAGUUUGAUGAGGUUUUACCAAAACGAAUUGAGUCCUCACUGGGUAUGAAAAUAAAACUUUCGAAAACCGGGGGUCCAUCUAUAGUACAGCAUGAAUCAAAAGAAUUGACCCCCAAACGUAACAAAGAAAAAAUUGAUAGUGGACAAGAUGUUCCAAAAAGAACAGAUUCUCCAAUAGGAAUGAAAAUCAAAUUGUCUAAAAGUGGCGAUGCCUCGAUAGUACAACCAGAGAAACAAGAAGUUUCAGAUGAAUGCGUGUAUAGAGAUAAAUGUGAAACUCAAACUGAGAUUCCAAAACGAACAGAAUCUCCAAUUGGUAUGAAAAUCAAAUUAUCGAAGAGCGGUGAUGCAUCUAUAAUAUCGACAGAAAGUUGCGAGGAAUCGAAAGAUUCUUCAUCAAAAUCCAGAGAUAAAUUGAGUUCUAAUCAAGAUCAUCCAAAACGAACGGAUUCCCCUCUGGGGAUGAAAUUUAAACUUUCGAAGUCUGGGGGAGCCUCUAUUAUACAACCAGAAAAAUCUGAAACAGCGGAAGAAUUCAAAGAAGCCAGAGACGAAAUAGAAAAUAUUGCAGCUAUAACAAGGCGGGUCGAAUCUCCGAUUGGUAUGAAAAUCAAAUUAUCAAAAACUGGAGAUGCAUCAAUCAUUCAUCCCGAUAAACAAGAAUCUGACGAGAAUAAAGAACUAAUAGCAACGAAAUAUAGAGAGAAAUCGGAGGUACAGGAAAUCCAGAAACGAACAGACUCUCCUAUUGGAAUGAGAAUUAAAGUAACGAAAAGUGGCGAAGCUACUGUAAUGCCUUUAGAAAUUCCACAAGAGUAUCAAGAAUCGUCACUGCCGGAUGCUGAGACCUACGAAACGGCGUAUGAAGUUACAAAACCAAAUGAAUCUCCCAUAGGCAUGAAAAUCAAAUUAUCGAAGUCUGGUGAUGCAUCGAUCAUACACCCAGAAAAACAAGAAUUUCUCAACGAACCUAAGGAUAAUGUCGCGGGCCGAGUACAUCCGUCAAUUUGCCAAGAAGGAUCUAAGUCCUUGGAGUCUCCACUUGGAAUGAAGAUCAAGUUAUCAAAAACUGGAGAUGCUUCUAUAAUACAUCCUGAAGUUUCUCCAGAGUCCAAGGAGGCCCACCUAAAACGUGCAGAAAAAUAUCAUACUUCGCUAGAAGGUCCCAAAAGAACAGAAUCUCCUCUCGGGAUGAAAAUAAAAUUAUCCAAAACAGGAGAUGCAUCUAUAAUAGAGCCUGACAAAAAAGAAAAAACUGCAAUGAAGCAGAAAGAAAAAUUGUCAAACAUUCACGAAGUUUCACAAAAGCGCAAGGAAAUGGAGUUUCCAAUAGAAAUGAAGAUUAAAUUGUCAAAGACAGGGCAUCCGACCAUAAUUGCUAAUGAAAAACAAGAUUCUUUCGGCGAAAUGCCUUCAAAAAGUCAAGAUCAUUCCGAAAGUAUUCCAGGCACACAUUACAAGCGUACAGAACCAACAUCUCCCACUAAGGAUUCUCAGAUGAGGAUUUUUAAAACUGGUCAUUCAAGCAUCAUACACGGUAAUCGGUCUGAAUUGACAAUUGAACCGAUUCAAAUGCUUCAUAAAAAAGUAGACAAUGUCAUGGAAGUUCCAUCAAAAUGUCAAGAUGUUACUAUUUCCUCGGUGGAUGUAAAAAAAAGUAAACUAGAAGCUAAAUUGUCGCAUAGAUUACCUGAAGUUACAAUUCAACCAGUUAUGUCUGGAGAACAAAAGCAGAUGAUGUUAGACAAAAAAACGAGUGCAAUUAGCCGACAACAAAUGAGUGUGAUUAAUCAAGAAAUAAGUAUCACUCAUGUUUCAUCUCCUAAACCCACUGAUCUAUCAAUGAGUGGAAAAUUGAAAGAGAUCUUACGCAAAAAUGCAGCUAGCUCUCCGCCGAAUUCGGAUUGUGAAAUUAUUGAGCAUCGGCCAGAGUUAAUCAUUGUUAAUGAAAACUCCAAUUCAAGUCAGGAUGUUAUGAUAAUAGAAGAAGUCAAGGUAGCGGCACAAGAAGUCAAGGUACCUAGAAAACGAGGCAGACCGAAAAGAUCAACGUUACCACCUGGGCAACCACUGAUGCGACAAAUUAUUCCACAAGACCCAUUGGCUUUAGACAAUAUGCCACAUCCACUUGGAAUUGACCAUAGAGAGAGCGACCGUCCGAAACGAACUUGCAGGAGUCAAAAGAGUUAUGCUCCGCCAAAAAGAGGUAGAGGAAGAGGAAGAGGAAAGCGAAAAAUGGACAGAAUAGAUUGUGCUAUUGGGAAAAUACCUCGACUGGAGGAUCCGUUAACUGAAAUUGAAAGAUCAACAAUGAGCUUAAUAGACCCGUUUCAGCAAAGAGUUAUUCCAGCAGUUAUGGCACAGACAUCGGAACUAUACAGAGCUCUGAAACAGAGUCCAACAGAUCGCAAGAGAUUAUUAUCCGAAACGAUAGUAAAGCAAGGCUUUUCAGAGCCACAGAAAAAACUAAGACUUCAAACCGAAGCUGUGAAACAAUUAUCUGCGGUGUUGCCUCUGGAACCUAUACCUCAAGCACGCAUGAUGGUUCAAUCAAAUGUCAAUACAUCAGAUUCAACAGCUGUGAUGAUAUCUGAAAUAUUGCAGCGCUCCGAGACCAUUACCGCAGAGCUGAAUACUGAUCAGUUUGAGGGACCAAAAUCUGCCAUUCACGAAAGCAAAAACAUUAUUGUAGACAUGACAACAACUGAGCAUCAAAAUUGGUUAACACCUUCGAUAAAACUACCCGAAACAAGUAGCAAAAGUGAAGCAAUUUCAAUAGUACAGGUGAUGGAUGAAGAAACCCGAAUGAGUGCAGAGUCCAAUUCGCGAUCGCAAACACCAGCUAGAAACAUCUCCAUACCUGUUGUAGAAACUGUAAUCAAUGAGGAAUCUCAAGGCAGCGUGCUGAGCACUGCCACUACAGAAUCUGAAAAAGUUAAAGUGAAGAAUCGAAGAAUGGAAAUAAACUUUGAUCCUGACGAAGGACCGUUUACUGUUGACAAAAUUGCUGAAUAUGAAUGGCCUCUUGAUAAAAAAGGAGAAACAUUUAUGAUACAGGAACAAAUUUCACAAUACUUGGGAGUGAAGUCAUUUAAACGAAAGUACCCGGAUUUGAAGCGUAGAAUGGUAGAAAUGGAGGAAAGAAAUUACCUCAGAGAAAAUUGUUUAGUGAGUGAAGCUAUGUGCGAUAUGGGACUUACAGCAAUAUGCAGUACGGAAGUGUUAGAUGUCAUGUGCAGCGAUUUUCCAGAUCAGUAUGAAGAGUACCGUAAGCAUAUGCGAGAAAAACAAGCUAAAGAACAUUCAAAGAAGCAAAAAGAACUAACAGCUGCUGCAAAUGCGGAACGAAAUCGCAUAGAUCUUGCAGAAAUGGCUGUACAGUCAGCGUUAUCUUGGAACGUUAAUUUCAAUAAAGCUCGAAAAGAGUCUAGAAAGUAUAGCUUAGAUUUACAAAGUUUCACCAUCCACGUACCUAAAAAACAACAAAAAGUUGACACGGAACGUAAAGUUAGUAACUAUCCUGUGGCUCUGAUACCUGGACAAUACACAGAUUAUUAUAGAGAAUAUACACCUGCUGAAUUGAGGUAUUACCCAUUGAAUACUGUUCUUUAUGGUCCGAUGAAACCUAAUGAACGUAAGUUUGACAGUCAAUCUGAAGGAUCACAGAGUGACAGCGAUAGCGAUUCAUCCUCUGAUGACUCUAGCUCAUCAUCUAGCGAAGGAACGCAGGACACAGAAGAAUCCCAAUCGACGAUCGAUGAAGUUGAUAUGGAGUUGGGCGCCCACAAGGAAGAUAACAAAAACUUAAAGUGUAAAAUGUGUUUAAAACACUUAAACAAACAUGGAAAGGCUGAAGUACUAAUACAGUGUGGUACUUGUAAUGGAAAUGGCAAGAAAUGCCUAAAAGGUCCACGAUCCUUUUACUGAUAUACCGAAGAUUUCAAUUUCCUCAGCCCAGGUGACUGCAUCUUUGAACAAUAUUUGAUUCAUACUGAUUCUUCGUUUUGAGGACAAAAAAUAUUGUCGCCAGGUUCACCCAUCGUGUAUUGACUUGACACUAGAUAUGGUGCCUCACAUUCAAGGGUACUCCUGGCAGUGUACAGAUUGCAAGACAUGUGAUCAAUGCCAUAAUCCUGCAGAUGAAGAUAAAAUGCUCUUCUGUGACAUGU
rnacentral:misc_RNA from 1 species